rnacentral:sRNA from 1 species
AUUCUACAGGCAAAUUGCUCAGAGCAGCUACUCAUGUUGGACAAUUCAGGUCUCUUCUGGAAACUGGCCUUGUAUUUGGAAUUUUCUCCAGAGUCUGAUGUGCUAAGAAAUCUUCAGAACAAACUUUUCAUAAAAGAAACUUCACUGCAAGAGUUGAAGCCUGAGCUAGAAAGUUACAAAGAAAAUAAUGUACAACAGUCGUUCCAGAUAAUGUCCCUGAAAGAUAAUAUCAAGGACCUACAGGAACUUACUGCUUCUCUAACCAGAAUUAAAUAUUUGAGAAACACCAAUAUUCAGAGGCUUCAAAGAGGCAACUGGGAUUUAACUAAAUGAAUUAUUGAGCUAGAAACUGUCUAAGAGUACGAGUACAUCUGGUUGAAAAAGAAAAGGCAGAGAGAAAAGCAGACUUUUUGGAGUUGUUGUUCUCAGGCACUAACAGAUUCAUCCCUUAUAUGCAUAUGAAUGGACAAUAAGAUUUCUUGGAUAUUUUCAUGGCAAAGCUUUCCUUCUAUGUCUUGGUUUUACACGACAAGAAGCCCAGAAACUGAACUUGCUUACUCAGCUCCCGGGGUUGAAGGUGGCAAGAAGGUGGGUAAGAGCGAAGCUAUCCUGGACAAGAACUUUGACAGGACAAUACUAUUCACUCUGAAGGACCAAAAAAUGAGCAGAAAAUUUGGGAUAAAUGUCAACAAGAUUUGAACCCUAAAGAAAAGCAAGCAUCGAGUUAGACAGACGUCCAUAUUCAUUCAACUGGGAAAAUAAAACUGUGCAGUCCCAACAUCAGAAUUUCCUUGGUCAGUUGGUUAUUGCGGGACAGCAUUCUUCUGCAUGACAGUAUUGUCUCCUUACCAGCCACAGAGGAGGCUGUGAGAGAGAGGAUUUGGGAAAUUGGUGCAAAUGAGAAAUCUUGGAAAUCUAGAAUUAAGCCUUUCAGCAGGAAAUCCAGAUGCUCACUAAGUGACUAGAGCAGCUGCAUCAUCUUUAAGAAGAAGGUGCUCAAGAAUCAUCCCAAGCUGAAGAAAAAAGUAUUGGGAACAAAAAAGACCCUUGAAAUGUCUAGAAAGAAAAAUUGAGAUCAAGGACUUUUUCAAGAGAGAUUAGACUUGGACAGGAAGAAAAUGGAGUCUCACUCUGUCACCCAGGUUGGAGUGCAAUGGUGUGAUCUCGGCUCACUGCAACCUCUGCCUCCCGGAAUUUGCAGAUUGCUACUACGCAAAGAUUGGAGGAGAAAAUUCAGAAACUUCAGAAACAGCUCAGUGAUUUGAAAUUGUCAAAUAAAAAUAUGAAAACUCAGCUGACAAGAGUAAAUGUCCUUAAAGACAAAACAAUUGAAGAGCUCAGGCAAUCUUUAGCAAAUGUUGAAACGAUGAAAGAGAAGGCAAAUGUUGAAACGAUGAAAGAGAAGGCAGUUGUGAAAACAGAAAACUUGAAAACUACAUUAGACUCUGCAGAGCAAAAGGCAAGAUCAGACAAAGAGAAGACCCAGCAGAUGUUAGAUGCUGUCACUUCUGAGCCCCCAAUAGCAAAGAGCACACCUGAAGAAGUAUCAGGACAAGAACAAGAGGCCUAUCCAGAGAUUCCAGUUCAGUUUGUGGUAUGAGGCUGAAGUAUGGAUAUUUUUUUCAAAGCUCCUUAAGUAUAUAAAUCGAUAAAAUUACUUUGGAA